rnacentral:lncRNA from 1 species
AGAAAACCAGGACUGCUAAAUUUAAACUUGAAAGCUCAAAAGAAAAACAUCAAACGAUUUCUUAAUAGAAUCAUGCAAUGCAACCAAAUAGCUUGAAUUUAAAACAUGAAUAUCGAAAUAUUUGCCCAUUGGUCUUUGGCACACUGCUGCAAAGCCUAGAGCAGCCAAGCGUACCAACAAAAUUUAGCAUAUCUUACCAUCAAGCAGGUCCCAGCACGAACAUUACAGAUGGGAUAGUCAUGUGGGCAGCAGCUAUAGUGGUCAUCACAGCAGGUGGCAGCCUCAAGCGGGCAGCAUCCCCAUGCAAAGCAAGAGUUACCAUACUCAAAGACACAGCAGCAAGUGUUGCUCUCAGGGCAAGAGUAAUAAUUGUCACACACAGCAGGAGGCUUUGUUGGAGAUGGAGGGGACGGUCCAGGGUUGGGAGGAUUUUGGCCUUUCUUUAUGGGAUAUGAGGCCUCCAUGGCAAUUCCACACUUGCCCGUGAGAGUGCCAGCCACGUUACGCUCCAUCCUAAUAUAGCCAGCCUCUCCCCAGCUACUGCCCCAUGAAUUCUUCACAAUCCAGUAAUCAGCUCCAUUUUCUGUGCCAUAUCCAACAGCAGUAACACCAUGGUCCAGAGAUGUCCCACAUCUUCCCGUAAAUAUACCCUGAAAAUUUGCAAAGACAGAAAAAUAUACUUGAGACUUCCUUAAAACAGAUCAGACACACACAAGACUCUUCCUGAUCCUGUUUAGAAACCAUUAGAAAUACAAUAAUUUUUGUUCAAAUACCAUCCAGUAUUGUCUCAACCAUAUCUUUUCAGAACUGCAAAAUGCAAAUACUUUGUAUCUAGAUAAUAGCAACAUUCCUAAAUCUAAAAUGUGACAAGUGCCAUGAAGAGAUGAAAGUUACCGAUUCAUAUAACUGGAAUGCCAUGCCACCUCCUUCAAUGGCAACACUCACGGGUUGAUUUGCAACUGCCUUUUGCAAAGCUUUCUCGUCAUUUAGGGGAACAUCUUCAUAGUCAUCAAUUGUAACUACUUUGGC